AGAAAACUAUGGCUCUGCUUUUACUGAAGGAAUGGCUACCGGAGCGGGCAGCUUUAUGAAUAUAAGGUGAAAAGGAUGUAUGGAGAAGUUUUGGGAGAGUCAGACAGUCCACGGAACUUGCAAUGACUUAGCAAUGAUCUAUGCCAGACGUACAACCCCUGCUGUCAUUGGUGAUACCACUGCUUGAAAAUAUGUCAACGUCCUGUAGAUCAAGUAAGGUUCCAGUCGAAGUCCUCCUGAAGAAUUUGUUGGAUUUCUGCCAGUUUUUGAUAUUGAACUUUAGUGCCUUUUGAGACUCUUGGCUUUUUAAUGGCACGCCUCAUUCUACCCAAAUGGAAGGAUUGGAGUGUGUUUAUAUUGUAUAUGUUUAUAGGCUUGCUAAUAUUUGCUUAGGCUUUCACAUUGUUUUCUGAGAUACUUCUCAAUUAUGUCAUUGUGACUCAUUGUAUCACACUUCAAGACGCGUAUCUUUUACUCAAUUAGUGUAUGCACUGUGAAUCCAAACAUGAGAAUUCUAAGAUUAUAGCAACUGCAAAGUUACUGCAAGGACAAUGUUAGUUUUGUAAAAACCUUAAGUGACAAGCACAAGAUGCGAUAGUGCUGGGAGCUUUUCUCUUGUAACAUUUUAAUGCAUUUGUAAUGGUGACGGUAAGCAGAUACUACAUUUUCAUCUCAUACUGUAUGU